rnacentral:rRNA from 1 species
UACGUAGGGUGCGAGCGUUAAUCGGAAUUACUGGGCGUAAAGCGUGCGCAGGCGGUCUGUUAAGACCGAUGUGAAAUCCCCGGGCUUAACCUGGGAACUGCAUUGGUGACUGGCAGGCUUUGAGUGUGGCAGAGGGAGGUAGAAUUCCACGUGUAGCAGUGAAAUGCGUAGAGAUGUGGAGGAAUACCGAUGGCGAAGGCAGCCUCCUGGGCCAACACUGACGCUCAUGCACGAAAGCGUGGGGAGCAAACAGGAUUGAG